GAUGAAGAACGCAGCGAAAUGCGAUACGUAGUGUGAAUUGCAGAAUUCAGUGAAUCAUCGAAUCUUUGAACGCACAUUGCACCUCUCGGUAUUCCGGGAGGUAUGCCUGUUCGAGCGUCAUUUGUACCCUCAAGCUCUGCUUGGUGUUGGGUGUUUGUUCCGCCUCUGUGUGUGAACUCGCCUCAAAACAAUUGGCAGCCGGCGUACUUGUUUCGGAGCGCAGCACAUUUUGCGAUCCAGAUCAACGUACAGCGGCAUCCAAGAAGCCUUAUUUAACGCUCUUGACCUCGGAUCAGGUAGGGAUACCCGCUGAACUUAAGCAUAUCAAUGAGCGGAGGA
rnacentral:misc_RNA from 1 species